UGUUGGUAUUGUCUGAAUAGGGAGAGGGCCCACAGGCUGCAUGACAGCUCCUCUUUCUCCCCCCACUCAUGAAGGACACUCAGCUUGUGUAAUGUAGUCGCACAGCAAGGACAGGAGAGCGUCUGGAGGAAAUCCUGGGAAACUCUGUGAUUUCACCAGGAUGGAAACCAGAAGAUAUGAGACAAGAUGACACAGAGUGACUGAUCUCUUCGUCUUCCCUGGAUGCCUGACGCGGCGCGACGAUGGGAAACAUCUUCCAGUGCUGCUGCGGAUUGUUGAGCUUCUUCAAGUAUCCUGGCGAUCCGAUUCAACAGGGCGCUGAGCAAUCCCCUCUUCUAUCAAGCGAGGAAAUCGAUCUUGACUCGUUGGAUGACAGUAUGAUAAACCCUUUAACUGGUAUAGCAAACCCUGCUCUUGAGCCAGAGCACUUCCUGUUUCCUGACAUCAUACUCAGCAGCAACCCUGCAGGCGAAGUGACUCUGGUGGAGCCCAUGGUGUGUCUGCUUGUUUCUGAGGAAGACGAGGCGCAGGGAGUGGAAGGAGACGCAAGGGAAGGAAGAGACAGGUAUUUCUCUGAGGUGGAGACGCAAACCGAAGUGGAGAUUCAGAUUAGUGCGGCGGUUCAGACUCAGACUGACUCUGAGCCAGAAAUUCAGACGAAGAACGCUAAAGACAUCACAGCUUCAACAAAAGCAAAAUCAGAAAUGGAGCAAAACAUCAAGCUUCAUGAAGAGAGCGUAGCAAGGUUUGUUCGGCCUGAGCAGCACCAGGUACUGAUCCAUCCCAGUGGAAAUGGUUCUGAGAGGACCCAACACUUUGGUGCAGAACCUAAAAGCAACAACACUCAUGAGGACUUCCAAGUAAAACAUGAACUAAGUGAUGAAGAUCCAGGAGUCCAUCACUUAAAAAAUGAAAUUAUCCACACUGAUGAGUUAGUAGAUGAACAAAUAUUUAACAAGACUCACAUGAAUGACCCGGAAAACAUAAAGAGAGAAAAGGAGGACCAGGAUAAAAAUGGUUUGCAGCCUCUUUCAGAGGAGGAGCCGCUUGUCAAAGGUGUGGCUUCAGAAACCUCUGAGGAUGAGCUGUCCAACAAGAGAAAAACUCUGCCAAGCGAUGGAGAAGUCGUUGAUCUUCAUGAGGACAAAUUUACAGUCCGAAUUCAGCCGCCGGGAACAGAAAGUUUUGAUCUUCAGGUAUCAGGGCAGAUGUCGAUAUCUGAGCUCCAUCAGGUGCUUAUGGAUCAUGAACUCACCUUCCAGCGCUCCUGCUUCUCCCUGCAGCUGGGAGGCGCCGUCCUGGACAGCGCCGCCGAGCUGGGCUCCAUCCAGGGAAUCCAGGAGGGGGCGCUGAUCAGGGUGGUGGAGGGUAACUGACUCUAACUUUCUCCCCUCCUCCUCUCUGCUCACUGCUUUUCACGACAAUCAUUUGACCUUGGACCAGAAGCUACCAGAAGAGAAUCAGUCUGAAUGUUUUACACGCUGACAGUUGUUUUGAAAAAGCUGAAAACUGAGCAAAUUUAGUGAGAACAGAAACUCCUGAAGAAGCAGAAGAAGAAUGCUCUGCAAUGUCCGGGAACUUUUCAAGCCUUAUUGACGCCUGAGGUAGCUCACAUAUAGUUAUGGUUUUAUUAUGGUAAUUUUAUCUAUUAACACAAGAAGAAGUUAAUCUUUGUUAUGAUCUUCAUGUGUGACCAAAAGUUUUGAGACUGUCAAAUGUUUUUUUGUUUUUUUUUAGCUUAAAUGUUGUAAGAACCUUUUCACUGACAAUUUAAUAUUAAAUAUUUGACGUGUUUCAAAUACCUUAAUUAAAGAUAAUCAAAAUUUUGUAAAGUUCCAGUAAUGAAAAUGUUAAACUUUCUCAUGUAAAUUGCAGGAUUACUGGUUGAUAUUACCUGUGCUUGGAAGAUGUCAUAAUGUUUGAUGUUGUUCACUAAGUUUUUUGAGGAUUCUCAGUGGGAUUAAGAUCUGGAGUGUUUCUUGACCACAGAGUCAAACACAAAAUAUUUUUGUAUAGUUUCAAGUGCAAAGUCAAGCAUGUUUUGCUUUUCAAACUCAGAAAUUCCCAUGCUUUUUCUAGAAGAUUUUUGUGAGAUUAAUCUCCAAAUUUCUGAGCUUUUCUCCAAGCAAGUUUUUUUUAUCAACAGUAAAACUUUUGAAAUAAGAAAAACUGACGUUUUAUGAAUAUAUAUGUCUUGUUUUAAGUAAAUAAUUUCUUAAUAUUUAUAUUUUUUAAAGUACUAGUUCCACUGGGAGAUAAAUUCACUUAUAACAAGACAUUUUUCCCAAGUGAAAUAGUCUGCCAAUUGAACAAAUACUUUUUUAAUCAAUAUUAAGGAGUUAUUAAUUUGGGUGAAAAAAAAAGAAUAAGUCAGCUUCUAUUAUCCAGUUAACCAGUUUUAUUCCCACUACUUAUACUUAAAUAUUAUCUACUUAAGUAUAAGUAGUUUAUACUUACUAAAAUAUGCAAGUACAUAUAAACACAGGAUAAUGACACUUAAAGCUAAUUGGUUCACAGUUAUCAAUUAAUGUCCCUUUAACAUAAAAGAUGCUCUUUUAUAAAUUUUAAUAAAAAAUAUGAAACAUCAGGAUGUUUUUGUUUUUUUCUGUGAAUGAUCCCAUCAUUAAAUUAUGUACAGUAAAUCCUCACUAUAAA